GUGCUCACUUUAGCAUCACAUGUCCUAAAACUAGAAUGAUGCAGAGGUUAGCCUGGCUCCUGAGCAAGGAUGAAAUACGAAUCUGUGAAACGUUCCUUAUUUUU